GGAUGACCCUUAGGUGGUAGAACUACCUAAGAAAACAUCAUUUUUGUUCUGGGAACUCUUGUUCAAAUCUCUUUCCAAUGGUCACUGAUAUUUGCUAACUUUAAAAUUAUGUGGUCUUAUUUAACAGAAAGUUUACAAAGAGGAUUUUGAGAAGGAGAUUAAAGGAAGGUCAUCACUGGAUUUAGACAAGACUCCAGAAUUUUUACAUGUAAAGUACAUCACCAACCUUCUGAGGGAGAAAGAAUAUAAAAAAGAUUUGGAAAAUGAAAUAAAAGGGAAAGGAAUGGAACUUAAUUCAGAAGUUCUUGAUAUCCAAAGAGCAAAGCGAGCCUCUGAAAUGGCGAGUGAGAAAGAAUACAAGAAAGACCUGGAGUCAAUAAUUAAAGGGAAAGGAAUGCAAGCUGGCACUGACACCCUUGAAAUGCAGCAUGCCAAGAAGGCUGCAGAGAUAGCGAGUGAG
rnacentral:sRNA from 1 species